UUGACGAGUUUAAUGAAGGUCGGCUAUGAAUAGCUGGCUUUAGUUAAUACGUAAUAAACAAGGCUCUCUGAACGUUGGAUUAAAUAAUUUCGUCUCCAGCCGGUACCUUUAUGAAGCUCCAGCGGCAAGAGACAAACACCUAAAAACAGGUGGCAGACCAACUGCUGAUUCCACUGGUGCCAGCACAGGACAGCUACAUCGUAAUCUAUGUGUAUUCUUGUCACAGACUGCAAGUACAGAAUUUUGAACACAUCUCCUCUUCUCCCCACCCUUCAUCCUGAUCUCCUCCUCCUGCGAAGUUGCAGCAAGACAAAAGUUAAAAUGAUGUGCAGACAGAAAAAAAGUGCAAAGAUUGCGCAGUCUCAAACUGAACAAAACUUCUGAGAGCUGGACUUCCCUUCGUACAGCCUUUUCUGCAUGUAGAAGUAAGAACAACUGCAAUGUUAGCUCACAAAGCUAUUUAUGUGCCUAUGUGUCAGAGAAUGUCAAACACCAACAACUGAGCACUGGGGAUGUUACCUCGGCUGGUGACUAAACGUCUGCAAAAUAAUUGCCAAGUUCGGUGAACACCACGACGUCCAACACCUCAACCCAAGCUACCAAUAUUCACGACCAUCCUAAACAUCAAUCUAUCUCAAAUAAUGAAUUGAAAAUGCAUCAAAUAAAACCAGUGA